UACGGAGGGUGCAAGCGUUGCUCGGAAUUACUGGGCGUAAAGGGCUCGUAGGCGGCCAACUAAGUCAGACGUGAAAUCCCUCGGCUUAACCGGGGAACUGCGUCUGAUACUGGAUGGCUUGAAUCCGGGAGAGGGAUGCGGAAUUCCAGGUGUAGCGGUGAAAUGCGUAGAUAUCUGGAGGAACACCGGUGGCGAAGGCGGCAUCCUGGACCGGCAUUGACGCUGAGGAGCGAAAGCCAGGGGAGCAAACGGG
rnacentral:rRNA from 1 species